CCGCUGACAGAUCGGGACCCACCCCCGUC
rnacentral:sRNA from 1 species